CUCUGUCGUCGCUAUGAUGAAAUUUGUUAUGCUGAAAAUCGUCGGGUCAGUUUAUGAAUUAAAUCUUUGCAGUUUGGGAUUGAUUAGACAGUCACAUAUUCACGCACAAACUGGAAGUAACAAAUUCGCUUUGGGUCACCGGACGCUAAUGCAGUUUCGCAACGGCCGAAUACCAGCAUACCUCAUCACCAAUACUUGUUCCCAAAUGUCUUGACAAGUCUCUCAGUCACAUUUCGAGAUUUCACUGUGUGUGUCAACCAAUAUGCGUGGAGUGUUAAUUUAGUUACAGCCUGAGGUCCCCAUCACUUGAACUGCGCUAGCUUGGUACUAUGAUAUCAAUGCAAGACACUAUGCCGCCUGAACAGCAGGAGCACUACUGGCCGAGGAGGAAACCACACAGCUCAAGGAAUAGAAAUAUAUUUUUUUCCUGACAUUCUCAGUGUUAAACAAAGUGUCAAGACCAUCAGAAUCUAGCCAGGCCAACGGGAGCAAGUGACCUGUUGCACUCAGAAGAGAAAGGGGAAUAGCAACAUUGCAGGGUUCCAGCAAGAUGUGUGUUAUCAACCAUUGCCAAGUAAUCUUUCCUGCCAAAUCGUCUCACAGGCGUCGAUUACCUCAAGGAAACAUAGUGACACAUUGUUGCAUCACCCUUCUGAAUCUUUCCAUUCCUCCAACAAGAGAGAAAUAGGUCUUUUUGAGAGGCUGAGAGUCUAGCUAUUUCCUCUGUCAGUGGUGGAAGUCCUCUUUAAGAUUGACUGAAGAGUAAAAAGAGAGAAAAGAUGAAAGUUAGAGAUUCUUCUAAGGUUCACUAUCGUCCUGGCCGUCAGCAUGAGUCCACUCCUCCUUCAACACCUGUCAAAGAGUGGGGGGCCAGCUUCAAACACAGGUUCUCCUUUGGAUAUGCCAUGCUGCUCAAUCGCUACUCCAUCAUUGUCAUCCUUGCAAUCAUUGCCAUGGUUACGGCAAGUGCUUUUACAGCCAUCCUUUUCUUCGAUAUACCAGACUUUUCAGACCCGAUAGCGGUAAGUGCAAGCAAGGCCUUUACUUGUACAUGUAGCUAUGUUAAAUCAAGGGUUUGGGUAACAUAAGGCAGAGACUUUUAUAAAUCCUUAAGUGGCUUUGAGAUAUGAUUCUAAUUUGAGAUACACUUGGCCCAAUAAACAAGGGAUGAAUGACAUUUUAUGUUUGGGUAUUUGAUUACCAUAUUAGCUGUAAGACCCAAGAUAUAUAGCUGAUAGUGUCCCAGUUGGUCAAGUAAUGAUCACAUAGCACUUUUUUCCAUUCAUUUCACAUUUAAUAUUUAGAUUCUGUCUUCCACUUAAACUUGUCAACAUUCAAACGAAAGGUGUAAACCAAACAGAGAGAAAAUGAGAUUCCUGUUAAUAAUAAAUCAGGUACGAUUUGUCGUACUUUGCACAUGUGACUAUUUUGAAACAUUUUGUUGUCACUAUGAAAGACAUCUUAUGAGAUCUGGAUAUCUCCCCCCACUUCAAUUGAUUGUAAAAGGAUGUUUAAUAAUUGUAUGAACAAAUAUAAUGUAGAGUUUUCUUCAUCUAGCAAAUAGAGGUUGUAUAGGAAAUACCAAGUGCUAAUCUUCCUAGUAGGUUUGGCUUGGCAAAGAGACUAUCGCUUGAUGAAUUUUUGUUGUUAGCCCUGAGUGUAACCAGGGGAUGGUAGAUCCACGGUGUAACACUGUUUAUUGUUCUGGGGAUGCCAGAAGUGAUUGCGAUUAAAUUAUGGAGCUUCCUGAGUCGCUAGCCUCAUUGCAGGUAUUUUCUUAACAUUUGGAAUUGAUAAAGCAAUGGCCUUUCACCUACGUCAUAUACACUUCUCAUUAGAGUUGCAGUAAUUUGUGUUUAUUAGUUUGCUGAUUUCCUGUUAUAUCAGCCUGUUUAAGCAUUUGUGAAGGGUGAAUAACAUGAAUUAUAUUUCAGUACAUCACGUUCAAAACCUAUGAAUGUGAAGUGUCCAUUGAUUUUCAUUAAUCUUUUUGAAAAUUGAAUUUUUAAGUUUCCAGUGGCCUGUCUGUAAUCUUUUUGUCUAUGAGUAUGAGCAUUUCAGGAGGCAUACUUGUCAUAUAGAAACGCGUGUAGACCAUGGCCAUUCAACUUGGUGUUGGUGUAUUCUGCAUUUCAGCUCAAAUUUGUUAUUUGUGACUUGUAUGUCCCUUUUAGCAUUGUAGAUAAAGAAUUCUACUUGUUAGGAACAUAGAAAUCCAUGACUUCUGACUUAAAAAAUACUUUCCAGUAAUAUAUCCAUUCAUAAAAAUAUUGCAUUCUGACUGCUUAUCUGCCAUUGGGGAUUUGUGACUGACUUUAUACUACAAUAUUACAUCUCCAGUGGUGAAACUGUCAUAAUCAUUCAGACAAAAACAAGUUGACAGGUUUCCCCCUGACCUUAUCUCAUUAUCUACCUUUAAUACCAAUUUGAUUUGGGUCAGACUAAUCUAGAGUAUUCAAAUCACCUGAAGACAAACUCAUAUCUUAAACCGCUCAAUGCAAUCUAGUUGCCAGUUCGUGUGAUCCCCCAGAGAUAUUGGAAUGGAGGGGACACUGGGAGAGAGCAAAAUGAGAGAUGAAGAAUCAGAGGGCAGGGAAAAAAGAUUAGAAGAUAUCAUCUGUUCAAACCAGAAAUUUAGAAAUCAAUAAUCACACAUUUUGGAGUUGCUAUUGCAGAGGUAGGCUAUGACCAUUUUGAAAUACAUAAUAGAGUCACGUCGACUUAAAGAUCAAGCAAGAUUCAUAUAUUUUGAGAAGAUAAAGAUACAAAAUUUUCAUCAGUAAUAAUAUGUAACUUUUAUGCUAACUUGCUGCCUUGAAUAUGUUAUCACUCGAAGUUUGGUGCAUGCUUGAUACUUGAUUGGUGUCAUAGUGAUGAUCUCUAUUUUGCAAUAAAGCAGAAAAGCAGAGUGUGUUAUGCAAUUAUGAAUUAUAAUUUGAUUUGGCAUAUGAUGUGGUGACAUGGCUCUUGGAUGCCUUCAGCACCCCCUGGAAAUUUGGUCUGUAUCGGGUGACUAGAUGUGCCAGAUUUCACCAAUUUGUCCUGCAUCCUGUACGACCCUCCCUGAUACGCCGUUUUAUCCUGUAUACGAUUUUGAAGUAAACACAUUCCUGUGAGAAUAUUCAUACAUUGCACUUACAUGUACAUAAUGUAUAUGCGUUGAAAAUAAUGAAAAAGAAAACCCAGGAUGUACAUUUCUGUAAAUCUUUAUUCAUUAUAUAUGGUGUUUUUUUUGUAAAACCUAUUAUGUAGAGAGAAGGUUUGUUAUCAGCAGUAGAUAUGAACGCCUAGAUUUUCAUUAACAUUGGUCUAUUCAAAGUCUUUGUCACAUGGGCAGACUUUAAAUAAAAUUCAAGUAGAACUCAAUGUGUAAUUUAUUUCAGUAUACAAAACUCCAAUAUCAAAACAUCUCUCUUCGAAGUUCAAUAUUGUCCAACGUAUGAAGUUUAAAAGGGAAAUAAAACUGUAACACCUCUAAAUGAUAAAGUAUUCUGAAAAAUACUUUAAUUCACAAGUUUACAAUCAAAGGAUCCUGCAUUGAUCCAAGCUAUAAUAUUCAACUCUCGAUCUGUCUCUAACUCCAAUAACUGAAAAGAUCCUGCACUGAUCUAAUCACCAACUUCAACGUUCAGUGUAUUACAUUUUCACCUGCAAAAUUA